CCGAGCCGGGACGUGGCGGUUGACGGCGACGUUAGGAAGUCCGGAGACGCCGGCGGGGGCCUCGGGAAGAGUUAUCUUUUCUGCUUAACGGCCCGCCAAACCCUGGAAACGGUUCAGCCGGAGGUAGGGUCCAGCGGCCGGAAGAGCACCGCACGUCGCGCGGUGUCCGGUGCGCCCCCGGCGGCCCUUGAAAAUCCGGAGGAC
rnacentral:rRNA from 1 species